GCCUCAAAUCGGGUGAGACUACCCGCUGAACUUAAGCAUAUCAAUAAG
rnacentral:rRNA from 1 species